rnacentral:tRNA from 1 species
UAGCGAAUAGUUUAAGUUAAAAACGAUAGGUUGUGGUUCUAGUAAUAAGGGAAUUCUUUUCGCUAG